AGUAUUAAGGCAUUCCUAAACUUCCUGCGUAGGAUUUGAAAUUUGAAAAAGGUUGGUUUUUUUUGGUUUUCUUAAUAGCCAUCACUGGAUACAAAGUAAGGUGUAGUUUUACAUAUUUUAUAUGUUUAAUUAAUGUAUAAUGUUUGUUUAGUUCGUUGACUCACAAAGACUAUUUGUGUGGCUAGCAAGACAUUUCGACCCCAAGACAUUUCGACCCCAAUAGACAAUUCGACCCCAGGACAUUUCAACCCCAACUCCUUGGACAUUUCGACCCCCAUUCAUCUGAUCCGUAAGCUGUUGGCAUUGCCAUUCCUACCUGGACAGCAUAUACGUAGGGCUAUUUGCUAGCAAGACAUUUCAACCCCAAGACAUUUCGACCCCAAGAGACAAUUCGACCCCAGGACAUUUCAACCCCAACUCCUUGGACAUUUCGACCCCCAUUCAUCUGAUCCGUAAGCUGUUGGCAUUGCCAUUCCUACCUGGACAGCAUAUACGUAGGGCGUUCGACCGUCUCCGAGCUAAGGCAGAAGGCAACACUGAGCCGAUGAGACAGUUGUUUCAGUAUGUUGAAGACCAGUGGAUAGACAGUUCGUUGUGGUCUGAGAAUGAGUGGUCUGUGUACAGACAGACAGUCAGAACAAACAACGAUGUUGAAGGGUGGCAUCGCAACUCCAAUUGUAUGUUCUGUUGCCACUUCUGCUGAGAGAGGGAAAGCUGGUUGAGAUCCAGCAUCAGCUAGUUUCAGAGCAAGCCCUGGGUCGUCACCGUCGCCAAACAUACAUAGACCUAGACGCACGAAUUGUGGAUUUAUGGGACAACUACGACGACCAUGAGAUCACAGGAGAGGAAUUCCUAAACAGUCUUGGUGCUGUCUAUGCUCAAAAAAUGUGACUUAAAUUAGGAUGUAAAUGAUAAUAAUAAAAGUGGAUGUGCUCAAAAAAUGUGACUUAGGAUGUAAAUGAUAAUAAUAAAAGUGGAUGUGCUCAAAAAAUGUGACUUAGGAUGUAAAUGAUAAUAAUAAAAGUGGAUUAAGGACAGUAAAAGGUGUGCUUUAGUUUGUGUAAACAAUGAUAGGCUGAUAUGUAUAUGCACGUAUAUAUAAAGUUGUAAGUUGUGUGUGUAUAUGUAUAUAUAUAUUUCAUUUGAAUAUAUAUGUGUCUGUUAAUAAAUUUAUUAUUAUUUGCA